UCAGAUUGACCGCUGGCGGUAGGCUUAACACAUGCAAGUCGUGCGAGAAAGUAUCUUCGGAUAUGAGUAGAGCGGCGGACGGGUGAGUAACGCGUAGGAAUCUACCUAGUAGAAGGGGAUAGCCCGGGGAAACCCGGAUUAAUACCGUAUACCUCCUUCGGGAGAAAGAAGGCCUCUCUUUGAAGCUUUCGCUACUAGAUGAGCCUGCGUAAGAUUAGCUUGUUGGUGAGGUAAAGGCUCACCAAGGCGACGAUCUUUAGCUGGUCUGAGAGGACGAUCAGCCACAUUGGGACUGAGACACGGCCCAGACUCCUACGGGAGGCAGCAGUGGGGAAUAUUGGACAAUGGGCGCAAGCCUGAUCCAGCCAUACCGCGUGUGUGAAGAAGGCCUUCGGGUUGUAAAGCACUUUAAGCAGGGAGAAAAAGUUAUAAGUUAAUACCUUAUAACCCUGAUGUUACCUGCAGAAUAAGCACCGGCUAAUUCCGUGCCAGCAGCCGCGGUAAUGCGGAAGGUGCAAGCGUUAAUCGGAAUUACUGGGCGUAAAGCGCGCGUAGGUGGUUUGUUAAGUUGGAUGUGAAAGCCCUGGGCUCAACCUAGGAACUGCAUCCAAAACUAACUCACUAGAGUACGAUAGAGGGAGGUAGAAUUCACAGUGUAGCGGUGGAAUGCGUAGAUAUUAUGAAGAAUACCAGUGGCGAAGGCGGCCUCCUGGAUCUGUACUGACACUGAGGUGCGA
rnacentral:rRNA from 1 species